rnacentral:rRNA from 1 species
AAUUCGCCCUUAGAGUUUGAUCCUGGCUCAGGAUGAACGCUAGCGACAGGCCUAACACAUGCAAGUCGAGGGGUAACAUGGAAGUAGCAAUACAACUGAUGACGACCGGCGCACGGGUGAGUAACGCGUAUGCAACCUACCUACUACAGGGGGAUAGCCCGGAGAAAUCCGGAUUAAUACCGCAUAACACAGGGAUUCCGCAUGGAAAUAUUUGUUAAAGAAAUUCGGUAGUAGAUGGGCAUGCGUUCCAUUAGCCAGUUGGUGAGGUAACGGCUCACCAAAGCAACGAUGGAUAGGGGAACUGAGAGGUUUAUCCCCCACACUGGUACUGAGACACGGACCAGACUCCUACGGGAGGCAGCAGUGAGGAAUAUUGGUCAAUGGACGAGAGUCUGAACCAGCCAAGUCGCGUGAAGGAUGACUGCCCUACGGGUUGUAAACUUCUUUUGUGCUAGAGUAAAAAAGAGUAUGUAUACUCUCUUGCAAGUAUAGUACGAAUAAGCAUCGGCUAACUCCGUGCCAGCAGCCGCGGUAAUACGGAGGAUGCGAGCGUUAUCCGGAUUUAUUGGGUUUAAAGGGUGCGUAGGCGGGACCUUAAGUCAGCGGUGAAAGUUUGAGGCUCAACCUUAAAAUUGCCGUUGGAACUGGGAUCCUUGAGUGUAUUUGAAGUAGGCGGAAUUCGUAGUGUAGCGGUGAAAUGCAUAGAUAUUACGAAGAACUCCAAUUGCGCAGGCAGCUUACUAAACUACAACUGACGCUGAAGCACGAAAGCGUGGGUAUCAAACAGGAUUAGAUACCCUGGUAGUCCACGCAGUAAACGAUGAUUACUAGCUGUUUGUGAUAUUACAAUAAGUGGCUAAGCGAAAGCGAUAAGUAAUCCACCUGGGGAGUACGCCGGCAACGGUGAAACU